rnacentral:piRNA from 1 species
UGAGUCAUCAUAUCAGGUAUC